GACACGGCCACUCAUCUCAUGGAACCUGCCUAUGGUGCAGGAGAUAAGCCGAGACCAGGAAGACAAAUAGCUGAUUAAAAGGCAACCGACCACACGCUGUACGUGAGUUGCUGUGUAUUACUGAGCUUACGGUGUGCGGGAGUGCAACGUGUGCGAGCGAAGCAGCACAAGGGGACGGGCGGGAGCGAGGCUGUACUGAAGCGCAGAAGAGACAUCACACAGUACCCUGAAUCCACGGGAAAAAGUGAGAAGACUCAGAGACGCUAAGUAAGAAGGGCGCCCUUGGAGCUCAGCAACUGUCAUCAGGGAAGCUCGGACUAGCUCACAAAGCAGCGCCGAGGCCCCAGCGAAGAGCCGGCAUCAACUAGAAGACAAGUAAAUGAUGACGACGUGUCAGACGGCCAGUCCCCAGCCUCAGAGUCUUCCAGCUGAAGCUCAGACACUGCGCCCCGCCUGCAUUCCUGACCUACAGGACCUGGGAGCAGAGUAGUGGUUGUCUUAUGCUACUGAGG